rnacentral:rRNA from 1 species
UCUCCUGGAAACGGGUGGUAAUGCCGGAUGCUCCAGUUGAUCGCAUGGUCUUCUGGGAAAGCUUUCGCGGUAUGGGAUGGGGUCGCGUCCUAUCAGCUUGACGGCGGGGUAACGGCCCACCGUGGCUUCGACGGGUAGCCGGCCUGAGAGGGCGACCGGCCACAUUGGGACUGAGAUACGGCCCAGACUCCUACGGGAGGCAGCAGUGGGGAAUAUUGCACAAUGGGCGCAAGCCUGAUGCAGCGACGCCGCGUGAGGGAUGGAGGCCUUCGGGUUGUAAACCUCUUUUAUCGGGGAGCAAGCGAGAGUGAGUUUACCCGUUGAAUAAGCACCGGCUAACUACGUGCCAGCAGCCGCGGUAAUACGUAGGGUGCAAGCGUUAUCCGGAAUUAUUGGGCGUAAAGGGCUCGUAGGCGGUUCGUCGCGUCCGGUGUGAAAGUCCAUCGCUUAACGGUGGAUCCGCGCCGGGUACGGGCGGGCUUGAGUGCGGUAGGGGAGACUGGAAUUCCCGGUGUAACGGUGGAAUGUGUACAUAUCGGGAAGAACACCA